rnacentral:pre_miRNA from 1 species
CAUGUACUCCCUCCGUUCGGAAUUACUUGUCUCAGAAAUGGAUGUAUCUAGAACUAAAAUACGUCUAGAUACAUCCAUUUCUGCGACAAGUAAUUCCGAACGAAGGGAGUAAAUU